rnacentral:snRNA from 1 species
GGAUGUGAGGGCGAUCUGGCUGCGACAUCUGUCACCCCAUUGAUCACCAGGGUUGAUUCAGCUGAUCUGGCUGGCUAGGCGGGUGUCCCCUUCCUCCCUUACCGCUCCAUGUGCGUCCCUCCCGAAGCUGCGUGUUUGGUCGAAGAGGACGACCUUCCCCAGUAGAGGAGAGGACCGUUCUUCGGUCAAGGGUAUAGCAAGGUAGCGCAACCUCCAGACAAGCUCUAAUAGCAUAAACUUAUUUGUAUAUUUCUCACUUAAAACUUAUAUUUAAAAAACUCAGGUAGAAAUAAGGAGGCAUUU